CCAUAGCUCAGCUGGGAGAGCGCCUGCUUUGCACGCAGGAGGUCGGCGGUUCGAUCCCGCCUGGCUCCACCA
rnacentral:tRNA from 1 species